ensembl:lncRNA
CUCACGAGGGCUGUCCAAUCGUUAUUGGUCAGCUAAAACACCGAGUGGCAUGCGAUCCGCCCAAUAGUAGCCUAAGUUAGAGGUUCGCGGCUUCAAGCGCCCAAUGUGGGCCUUUUGCCGAAGAAGUAGGGGCGGGGGGAAGUUUAGGAGUUGAGGAAAGAAGAUUAAAGAGCGCGAGGAGAUAAAUGAAUGGAGUGUUUGAAUUGCCCUUUGCAACUCUGAAGACUGAAGUGCUUCUGGUACUACGUGUAUUUAGGAGAUUCUUGUGAAACGCAGACAAGCUGAGAGUUCCUGAUGAAUUGCAUGUCUGUUUGUGCCUCAUAGCCGCACAGGUAUGUAUGUGAAUUUCCUAUAGCUAUGUAAAUGUAUGUAUUAACUGUUGCAUUACUACAUUUUGUUUACUAAAGUUGCUUAUAGAUGUCGUAAUAUGCAAUUGUUAAUUUUUGAUCACUUGUCAUUAAAUAUUGACAGUUCCAAAGAACUGUACUUUGUACACACUUUGCAUUGCAUAUCACUGUAAGAAUAAGAUCCACAUUUCUAAGAUUUGAUGAGGCAGAAUAAUUUUAAUUACAAAGCAUUCAUCUGGUGAAGAUUAGAGAGUAUUUUAUGGAACUGUGCUGUUAAAGCAACUGGUGAGUGAGGUCAGAGCAUUGGAGAAGCACUGUCUUUGGUAUCUUUGUUUUAUUAUCAAACUUCCUUGAUGCAUUUCAGGUUGAUUCUUUGCCGAGGUCGCUUUAGGUCAGAAGUGGCUGCAGCCCUACUCUCUUCUGCAUUGUCUCAGUAGCCAGAUGAAUCUGGACUGGGUGGGAAUGUUUACGGUAGUUUAAAAUUUCAGCCAUGCGCUGUUGUUGUUCCUGGGCAACAGGCAGGAAAUCUCCAAAGCUUGGUUGCACCUGCGCAGUCAUAGGCUGGAAACACACAGAAGCCCGUUAGCAGAUCGUCCGUGCUGUUGUGGAUCUGUGUUUCAUGCACUCAUGAGUUGGAAGGAUAGGAGUUGUAGGCUUUGGACUGUUGCAUUGGGCCGUUAUAACACUCACUGGCUAUAGUAUUCAGAUACUUUUACUUUAUUCUUUGUUUUGUGUCUCAAAUAUUUUUAAUAUAUCCCAACUGCCUUAGAAAACGUAUAUCUCACAUAGUGUAUCUCUCGAGAAAAGCGUGUUGGUAAUUUUUUGUCCUAAGAGAGACAUUUUGUGUUUGGCUUGAUUUCACCAUGUUGGCAGCCCCUCUGCGUGGGGCUGGAUGUAGUUAUUGAUCCAUUUAGCUGAACAGAUUUGAAAGCAUUUGGCUAUUAGUGGACACAUGGGGCACAUUCAGAAAAUGUAAGAGUAUACUGUAAGAUUUUACUUGUGUAUGUGUCUCUUCUGCAGUUGGGGUUGAAGAAAUGGGGAAAGAAACUGAAAAUUAAGUAGUAAAUUCUAGAAGAGGGGCUAACAUACACAUGAAAUUUUAAGGCUGCUAUGUUAUCAUUUGAUCAAAUCUAGCUCCUUGGCGUUUUUUCCAGAGUUACUUGUAGUGCAAUUCAGUUUCUUCUGUUAAUAGCUUUAUUUAUGUUGUGACAAAUUAGUAUAUCUUUAAGAGAUUUGAACUAUUAUUGAAUUUAUCUUCGGUAAAGUUCUGUAAGUGAAAUUCAAACAGCUGUACUUUUAUAUAAAGGUAUUUAAUUAAUUGAUUCCCUUGUCCCAAAUUCCUGAUACUGAAAACUUGUUUGUAUGGCUUGUAUUAGUCUCCUUAACAUGCUAAAAAUAUUAAAGAUUUUUCCAUGAGAAUUUAAUAACCCAAAUCCUAAGUCUUAGAACUGCUGUAUUUUCCUACUAUUAGCAUACAGCAGAUAUUUGUUUGAAAUAAUACAUCAUUACAAUAUGGCCUGGAUUAACCUCUUGGGAACUAGAAAAUAGACACAAAGGAGGUAGAGGAGAGUCUGUGGCUCCUUACCAUAGUACCUUGUACAGAGCAUUUGGUCAGGGCGUGCUGGCUAGAAUAAAACAUGCCAGGCAGUGUGGUAGAAAUGGAG